rnacentral:lncRNA from 1 species
AAUGGGGAGCCACUGCAGCAUUUUCAGCAGUUAACAUCGUCUGACUUAUAUUUUAAAAGGUUCGUGGUGGCUGAGGAUAGAGUGUGUGUUUGUAUGUCUGUGUGGGCGGCAGGGGGGCAAAGGUAGCAGCUGUGAGAGUAGUUAGAAGGCUCCUGCAGUAAUCCACAUGAGAGAUGAUGGUAACUUAGACUGGGAUGGUAGUAACAGAAGUGGUCAGAAAGGGUUGGAAUCUGGAGCGAUUCUUAAGGUAAAAUCAAAGGGAUUUCAUAAAUGGUUGGAUGUAUGGUGUAAGAGAAAGAGCAAUGUUAAAGACUGAUCCAUGGGUUUAAGGCCUGAGCAACUGGAAGGAUGGAGUUGCCAUCAACUGAGCUGAGAAUGGCUACAGGAAGAGCCGAUUUGGCAGAGUGAAGUGCCCUUAUAAGAGGGAGAUUUGAAUACCGGCAGAAGAGAAGGCUAUGAGACAGCAGAAGAGUGCACAGAUUCAGAGAGACAAGAUGGCACGCCAUAGGCUUUGACUGUGGAGGAAGAGCUCUCAGGGCAAGGAAUAUAGCAGCCUCUAGCAGCUGGAAAAGGGAAGGAAACAGAUUCUCCCAAGAGCUGCCUGAGGGAGUGUGGCCUUGCCAUGCCUUCAGCCUGGCAAAACCCACUUUGGACUCUGGCCUCCAGAACUGUAAAAGAACACAUUUGACAUGUUUUAGGUCACCAAGUUUGUAAUUUGUUACAGCAGCAAUGGGGCACAAAUAAGCUUUCACAAGCUCCCUUUAUUUACCCCUACACAGCAUUUAG